rnacentral:piRNA from 1 species
UUCACUUGAAAAGAGCCGUGAUGAAUGCA